CACGUAGUUAGCCGGGGCUUCUUAGUCAGGUACCGUCAUUAUCUUCCCUGCUGAUAGAGCUUUACAUACCGAAAUACUUCUUCACUCACGCGGCGUCGCUGCAUCAGGGUUUCCCCCAUUGUGCAAUAUUCCCCACUGCUGCCUCCCGUAGGAGUCUGGGCCGUGUCUCAGUCCCAAUGUGGCCGUUCACUCCCUCAAGCCGGCUACUGAUCGUCGCCUUGGUAGGCCGUUACCCCCACCAACAAGCUAAUCAGACACGGGUCCAUCUCACAGCGAUAAAUCUUUGAAAGGAUCGUCAUGCGGCAAUCCCUUGUUAUGCGGUAUUAGCAGCCGUUUCCGGCUGUUGUCCCCCUCUGUGAGGCAGGUUACCCACGCGUUACUCACCCGUCCGCCACUCAGUCAUUACCAUCUUCCCUCCGAAAAGUUCCGUCGGUAGCGCUUCGUUCGACUUGCAUGUGUUAAGCACGCCGCCAGCGUUCAUCCUGAGCCAGGAUCAAACUCUCG
rnacentral:rRNA from 1 species